rnacentral:lncRNA from 1 species
UCAAACGUCAUAACCAAACCCUACACAACACAAACUUUUCCUCUUCUUCUGGUAGACGCCAAAUCCUCCUGCCAUUGAAUCUUUCUGUUUGUUCAAUCCUGCCAGUGUAUGAUGAUUAUUGAACCAGCGAAAUGGAACAAAUAUUUGGGGACAACAAAGUUAUGGAGGAAGGUUUGGUGAAGUUAAUCCUGCAGUUGCAUUUUGUUGACCCGGAUGAAGAUUUGGUAAAUUAAUCAUGAAGGUUUGAUUGAAAAGCCAAAAGAGUACUUCAAAAGUUUAAUUAGUAGUAUAGCUAGAUGGUAUAGUUGCCUGAUGUGUAUCAUGUUCCGUUCGAGUAUUGUCGAAUCCGCCGCAACACGCAGGGUGUAAUAAAAGGAUGGAUGCAUAAAUCUUAAAAGCAUUAUAAAUAAUCAACUAGAUAUAUAAAUACUUAUUAUCACACAUAAAUCGGUAGCAAU